rnacentral:tRNA from 1 species
GGUUCAAGGUCUCUAUCCCCAAAAAAGG